UACGUAUGGGGCAAGCGUUAUCCGGAUUUACUGGGUGUAAAGGGAGCGUAGGCGGCGGGGCAAGCCUGAUGUGAAAGCCCGGGGCUCAACCCCGGGACUGCAUUGGGAACUGCCCUGCUGGAGUGCCGGAGGGGCAGGCGGAAUUCCUAGUGUAGCGGUGAAAUGCGUAGAUAUUAGGAGGAACACCAGUGGCGAAGGCGACUUUCUGGACUGUAACUGACGUUGAGGCACGAAAGUGUGGGGAGCAAACAGG
rnacentral:rRNA from 1 species